AUAAGCUGUGGAAGAUUAAUAGAAUAUAUAAAUAUAAUAAGUUAUUUUUAUAAAAUCAGAUAGUGGUGAGGUGUAUUUCCUUAAUAUAUAUUCAAGUUUUGUACAAUAUUGUGGUGACAAUUUUUUAUUUUAUACAACACCAAUAAUAAUUUCAAUUAGUUAUAACUUUUUAUAAUUUUGAGGAGUAUUAGGUAGAGCCAAAAUUUUAUAUUUAAAACAAGAUUUUAGACUCAAUUUAAACCGUAUAAUUUAUAUUGACUAAGAAUAUAUUUACCUUGAGAGAAGCCCAUUACAAACACCAUGUAUAUGGAAACGAAUCUCAAUAGAUCUCCCAUAAUCAUUCUAUAAAUCAUGACCACAAAAGGACCAACUGUCUUGAAACCUCUUCAAAUUGUUUAAAUAUAAUUUAAAAAAGUUACUAUGGCGGAAGUUUAGUGAGUUAAGCUACCUUAAGUCCAUACCAAAUCACACUUAGGAUGAUCAAUUGUAGUUUACCUGCAGAAAAAUAAGAAAUA